UCUGGUGUCAGCCGCCGCGGUAAAACCAGCACCUCAAGUGGUCAGGAUGAUUAUUGGGCCUAAAGCAUCCGUAGCCUGCUUUGUUAGUUUUCGGUUAAAUCCAUACGCUCAACGUAUGGGCUGCCGGGAAUACUGCAAAGCUAGGGAGUGGGAGAGGUAGACGGUACUCGGUAGGAAGGGGUAAAAUCCUUUGAUCUAUUGAUGACCACCUGUGGCGAAGGCGGUCUACCAGAACACGUCCGAUGGUGAGGGAUGAAAGCUGGGGGAGCAAACCGGAUUAGAUACCCGGGUAGUCCCAGCUGUAAACUAUGCAAACUCGGUGAUGCAUUGGCUUGAUGCCAAUGCAGUGCCGCAGGGAAGCCGUUAAGUUUGCCGCCUGGGAAGUACGUACGCAAGUAUGAAACUUAAAG
rnacentral:rRNA from 2 species